UGUCAGCCGCCGCGGUAAUACAGAGGUGGCGAGCGUUGUUCGGAUUUACUGGGCGUAAAGGGUGCGUAGGCGGUACUGUGUGUCGGGUGUGAAAUCCCACUGCUCAACGGUGGAAUGGCACUCGAAACUGCAGGACUAGAGUGCAGGAGAGGAGAGCGGAAUUCCUGGUGUAGCGGUGGAAUGCGUUGAUAUCAGGAAGAACACCGGUGGCGUAGGCGGCUCUCUGGAAUGCAACUGACGCUGAGGCACGAAAGCUGGGGGAGCAAACAGGAUUAGAUACCCUGGUAGUCCCAGCUGUAAACGGUGUGCAUUUGGCGUAGGAGGAAUUGACCCCUUCUGUGCCGUAGCUAACGCGAUAAAUGCACCGCCUGGGGAGUACGGUCGCAAGAUUAAAACUUAAAUGAAUUGACGG
rnacentral:rRNA from 1 species